AUUGAACGCUGGCGGCAGGCCUAACACAUGCAAGUCGAACGAGUGGCGGACGGGUGAGUAAUAUCUGGGAAACUGCCUGAUGGAGGGGGAUAACUACUGGAAACGGUAGCUAAUACCGCAUACCAUCAGAUGUGCCCAGAUGGGAUUAGCUUGUUGGGGGGGUAACGGCUCACCAAGGCGACGAUCGUUAGCUGGUCUGAGAGGAUGACCAGCCACACGGGAAGUGAGACACGGUCCAGACGCCUACGGGGGGCAGCAGUGGGGAAUUUCGGAAAAUGGGCGCAAGUCUGAUCAAGCCAGGCCGCGUGUGUGAAGAAGCCUUGCGGUUUGGAAAGUACUUUAGGCAGGGAAGCGUUACCCGCAGAAGAAGCACCGGCUAAUUCCGUGCCAGCAGCCGCGGUAAUUC
rnacentral:rRNA from 1 species